CGGCACGGACGCUCAAGCAGGCGCGCAUAGCCCCUUCCCCUCCACACCCACAUCCACACUUUGCCCGCGGGAAGCACGAGCAGGGAAGAGACACCACCUCCCUCCCUCUCCUCCUCCUUUGUGUUCUUUCGAAUCCAUCUACCCCGUCAUUCUCUUUCCGCGCCCACGUGCGAGCACAUUCGAGGGCGGUGUGAGGAGCGUGCGUGGUGUGCGUAUGGGCACACGGCUCACCUCCCGCGUACAGCACAGAGGGCGAACGCAAAAAGGAAGUGAAUAAGGACCGCCUCACAUUUUUUUUUCAGUAGGGGAGGGGUGUAGAGACGCGCGCAUCUCUCGGCUGCCUUUCUCCAUGCCGUCCCCUCGUCAUUUCUUUCUCUUUCGCCCCCCCCCUCUCUCUGUGAUUUGGCACUCCGCCCAACUUGGCUCUCUCUCUUUUCGUUUUUCGUCUCUUGUUCAGCCCUUCCUUACUCCCUCCUCCUUCCCCCGACAGAGACGCGUGCAUGUGCGCAUCCGUGUGCGUGUGCCUUGUAGAUCCCUCCCUCGCCCUCAGUCUCAUUUUGGGGUCUCUCAGCCUUCCACUUCCUCCGCUGCCGGGAGCAUACACGCAUAGGCAACGAGUACACCUCUUUUUUUAUAUGUGUGUGUGUGCGUGUGACUAAACGCCUCUUGCGUGUAGACGCAGCCGCUCCCGACUCGAUCGUGAUCACACAGCCGCACCCGCACGCUGCCACAGGGACCGUCACACGUAAGCCCUUAUCGACCGCGACAACCUCGUCUUUGAUUGGCACCUUUACCUUUGCCCAGAGCCGCCGCCACUGCUAUAUCUAUCCCCAGUCCUAUUCUCUCUCGUCUUCUUUUCUUGCUAGAAGGUUUUCUAUCCCUUUCUCUUUGGUUGGGUCACGCGGGCGUGUGCGUGUGCGCCGCUCGCGUGUCUCUGCACGUCUCCGCCAAUCCAUCACAUCGCUCCACGUGUUGACUCAGUUUCUUCCAUCUCUACAGUGCUGUGUGACAGCGACAUUGACAUGCCAUGCCCGCCAGUCAGUGUAUGCGCAUCGCUGCAUAUCACGUGUCUACUAAUGAGGCCGAUGCGGAAGAGUUGUACGCGUCUACAAUUUCGACUGAUCAUUGCAGCAGUGACGAUGAGAGAGCGCCGGACCUUGAGGUGGAGGCCAGCCCCCCUCAGCACGACGGCUCGACUGAUGUGGAGGAGGUGAGAAGAGACGUGGACGCAUCGUACUUCAGUGACUACGCAGGAGAAGCGAGGCGCGAUGAACAGGCAGCGCUGCCGCCUCCACCGCCACUUGGCAGUGAGGUCGAGAAAGAGGGCGAUGCAUGCAGUCGAAAACUGCUUCCGCACCUCUGUAGCGAUGACAACGGCGCGCAGGUGGUGACGGACGUUGUUGCGGAGGGGGAUGCAGACGGCUUGUGCGAUGUCGACUAUGAGUCCAUCAUGGUGAACCAUAGAAAAGAUUCCUUCCCGGCGCCUGCGCUAACACUGGACGCUGCUGGCCAUUCGGCUAAGAUUAUAGGGCCCUCCCCACCCCUGAAGAGUGGGGGAGGGCGCAGAAACAGCUGGCUCGACCCGCUGCGUGCCCUGUCCACACCGUACUCCAAGGAUGCAGCUGCGGUUCACCCCAAGAAGCCACAGCUGCCGGAAGACGUGCUCAUUCGGCGCCAAGUGCUACCACACACCCCUGCUCGCACGUCCGAGAGUCGCUUCGAGCGGCGGACCGACGCACUGCCCUACCACGGAGGAUCUUCUUCGGUCAUGGAGCGCGGGGGCACAGCGGCACCGUCGCCGCCACCAGUGUCAGAGCUGAACGGUGCUGCUUCCUGCAUGGCUGAUCAAGGCGCACGUGGAUACCGACGAACGAACUAUGCCUCGUCUUCUCGCGCGUCCACUCUGGCCACUAUCGAUGCAGUGCACGUGCUGCCACUCACAGAUGUGCUGACGAACGGCAACCACAAAGGCUGCGACGGAGGAAAGAGGGCCUCUGCGGCUACACCGACAACACCCCCACGCGUGGCUCCGCGCGACUGUGACGCUCGCGUCUCGUUCUCGCCCGAUGACACCAGUGCUGCCGCCAACUCGCCGCCCCCACGCCCUAUUACCGUGACGGCGACGCCGCCCGCAGCGCAGCAGCCACGUGGAAAAGACACUCGCACGCCCACGAUGCUCCCAGCCCUCGAGACCACGGCGCUGAUGGGUCCACGGACGCGUGUGGUGCGAGACCGUCCGCCGCGCGGGGUACCACUGAUUCUUCAGUGCACAGGCCACUACCCGACCCCAACGCGGACCAUUCUUGUGGACGAUACAAUGAUGGAUGACGACGAGGGCGAUGGGGAGGAUACCGUGACAGCUGGUCUCCACACCAGCGUUUACAAGGAGACGGGUGACAGAUCCGACCUCUCUUACUCUUCGUCCGUCUCAGUGGAGGGGGUGCUGUUGCUGAGAGGUGGAGGGCAAGGCGGUCGUUGUGGUCGUGACGCCUCGAACUGUUCACCCACGCCGAGCCCGGGCGUGCUCCACGGCCGCACCUGCCCAGUCGCUCGCUCCGGCAGCCCACUGGUCUCACUGACAGACGCACAGUUCAUUGGGGGCGACCCAGCUACAGUGGCCUACCAGCACCCGGAGCCGGAGCCGCACCACCACGACCUCGAUGCCUCGCCUUCUCUGUUACCUCCCAAGACAUGGGAGGAGGAGGAGGAGGUAGACGCGGUGCCGGACUUGAUCGACUUCAGCGUUCAAACCGAGGAGCUGGAGCCCAGCCGGCAGGAUGAGUCUCUCAUCUUGUGCGGGUACUCUGUAGAGCCGAUUUGUGCCAGCCGCGGCGCAAGUGCUCCCCCUGAGGCCCGCCCUCGUCACCGAGUGCCGCCGUGUCAGCCCUUCUUCAAAUCCAGCGCGAUUGGUGCCACUGCGUCAGCUGCAGCGUUCUCAAAGAAGGGCAGAGAAGGGUGUGCGGCCUCGCAGGAUGUGGAGCAACUGCAGGUGGAGGGGGAAGGCGCAGAAGAGGAUUGGGCCUGGCCGCGAGGAGAGGCUUCAUGGUUGCCACAGACCAGCCAUCUCGAGCGUGAAGCGGUUCAGACGGUGCCGCGGGAAUGGUUGCCUCGGACGUACACUCACCAGCCAUCACGCGAGGCAUAUCGUGCUACUGGCUUUGAUGACGACCUCCCACAAGCCUCAACUCCGAGUCUGCACGACGUGCGGUACCUGGUCGAAUCUGUCCAGGAGGCGCCGGCACCUGGCCGCGGCUUCCACCCUCCACCGCGGAUCAUUGAUGUGCCUUGCGAAGGAGCCGAGGUGCGAGGCGGUCGGAACUCCACGCUGUCCUUCCGUAAAUCACGCCAUGUCAACAAUUCCGUUGAGCGUGUUCAAGCCACUCCGUUGUCGUCGAGCUCCGCCACUCGGUUUGAUGAGCGCAGCUCGCUCACGCUGCAGCGAGAGCGGAGGAACGCCCUGCACACGCUGCUCGCGCGACAGAUGCGCUCUCCAAGCAGCAGCAGGUGCACUACGACGUCACACGAGUACGCCGAUGCGCGAGUGAGCGUGCGCUCCGCCCGGCUCAUCGCGCCGGCGGCGGACUACGUGGCGACGCAGGAGCAGCUGCGGGGGCAGCGACUUGCAGCGGAGGAAGAGCGAGCACGACUGAGUCUGGUGCUGGACGUGUGCGAGGCAGUGCGGCCGCAUGCGCGGGACCUGCUUCUCAUGUUCCUCCUCCUCGUGGAGGAGUCGAACAUGCGACGUCGCCAUAGGCGACGAGGGCAGGUGCAACGUCGCAGCAACCCGACAUCGGACCACGGCACUGCCUACAGCUCGCACCUUGACUCGUCGGUGUGGGAGGAGAGCCGAGUCACGUACGGCAUGUGCGCCGAGGCGGUGAACUGCGUGCUGGAGAGACAUGGUGUUACUAGGGUCCGUGCCACCCGAGAGUUGUGUCGCCGUGUGGUUGCCUGGUGCAAACACCACCACAGCGGCCAUAGCCUGCCCACUCAGGGUGCGUCGCUGCUGGACUCGCUGCGUGGUACGGCGGAUGACGCCUCUGUGGAGUACGCCACGUUUGUUUCCUCCGUGAUGGAGUUUGCGGAGCAGUACCCGGGCUAGCGCGUGCAGACCGCGAGCGCGGGUGAUUCGCCAGCUCUGUUCCGUUUGCUCGCACGGCAAUUUUUCUCUUUGCUGGCUUCUGCGCUGCUCCAUCUCUCCCUCUCUCUGUGCGUGUGCGUCGGUGCUGCAGAGUGAUUAUCGAGGUCCAGCCGCCACCUCAAGACACACACACACACCGCACACACACCACCUUCUCUUUCUCGUGCACGUACGGGGCGAGCUCAGCAAGUGGGGCAAGGAGCACCUCCCCCCAUAUCCGCGCUUGCGCCGCGCUUUGGGGCCGAAGCGACGGCGAAAGAAUAGCGAGUUGGGCGACACGAUACUCGUCACUCUUGACGUAAUUCCGAGGGCGGCGCGCUUCUGGUGAAAGACGCGCAUACCCCUCCCCCCUCCCACCCCGUUUUUUCGGUGUUUGUGCACUUACACAAAGCCCUUUGCUCUUCCCACGUAUGC
rnacentral:misc_RNA from 1 species